rnacentral:rRNA from 1 species
UACGUAGGUGACCAGCGUUGUCCGGAUUUACUGGGCGUAAAGAGCGCGCAGGCGGUCGUUCAAGUCGAGUGUGAAAGCCCCCGGCUCAACUGGGGAGGGUCAUUCGAUACUGAUCGACUCGAAGGCAGGAGAGGGAAGUGGAAUUCCCGGUGUAGUGGUGAAAUGCGUAGAUAUCGGGAAGAACACCAGUGGCGAAAGCGCUCUGCUGGACCUGCACUGACACUGAGGGACGAAAGCUAGGGGAGCGAAUGGG